rnacentral:rRNA from 1 species
AUUGAACGCUGGCGGUAUGCCUUACACAUGCAAGUCGAACGGCAGCACGGGAGCAAUCCUGGUGGCGAGUGGCGAACGGGUGAGUAAAGUAUCGGAACGUGCCCAGCCGUGGGGGAUAACGUAGCGAAAGUUACGCUAAUACCGCAUACGAUCUAUGGAUGAAAGCGGGGGAUCGCAAGACCUCGCGCGAUUGGAGCGGCCGAUAUCAGAUUAGGUAGUUGGUGGGGGAAAGGCUCACCAAGCCGACGAUCUGUAGCUGGUCGGAGAGGACGACCAGCCACACUGGGACUGAGGCACGGCCCAGACUCCUACGGGAGGCAGCAGUGGGGAAUUUUGGACAAUGGGCGAAAGCCUGAUCCAGCCAUGCCGCGUGCAGGAUGAAGGCCUUCGGGUUGUAAACUGCUUUUGUACGGAACGAAAAGGUUUGGCCUAAUAAGCUGAGCUCAUGACGGUACCGUAAGAAUAAGCACCGGCUAACUACGUGCCAGCCGCCGCCGUAA